AAGUCGUAACAAGGUCUCCGUUGGUGAACCUGCGGAAGGAUCAUUAACACGAACUCUAUCCACUAACCAAACCAAACGGAAACUUUUCCCCUCCCUAGUGCUCACUGCAUUAGGCUAAACUAUUUUACUCGUAUUUUACCCCAUACAAACAAAACAAACCUAUGGUCUUGAUUGAGAACCAGUCAUUACCACUUUUACUAUCCGAACAUGACUUGUGGUCCUAGUUGACUCGGUGUGUUCUGUUCUAUACAGGAACUUGAAAAGAGAAAAUACAACUCUUAACAAUGGAUAUCUUGGUUCUC
rnacentral:misc_RNA from 1 species